CCUACGGGAGGCAGCAGUGAGGAAUAUUGGUCAAUGGACGAGAGUCUGAACCAGCCAAGCAGCGUGAAGGAUGACGGCCCUAUGGGUUGUAAACUUCUUUUAUAGGGGAAUAAAAUGUUCCACGUGUGGGAUUUUGUAUGUACCAUAUGAAUAAGGAUCGGCUAACUCCGUGCCAGCAGCCGCGGUAAUACGGAGGAUCCGAGCGUUAUCCGGAUUUAUUGGGUUUAAAGGGUGCGUAGGUGGAUUGUUAAGUCAGUUGUGAAAGUUUGCGGCUCAACCGUAAAAUUGCAGUUGAAACUGGCAGUCUUGAGUACAGGAGAGGUAGGCGGAAUUCGUGGUGUAGCGGUGAAAUGCUUAGAUAUCACGAAGAACUCCGAUUGCGAAGGCAGUUCACUGGACUGCAACUGACACUGAGGCUCGAAAGUGUGGGUAUCAAACAGGAUUAGAUACCCUUGUAGUC
rnacentral:rRNA from 1 species